GCAGCUAUAGCUUCUCCCCAUGAAAGCUGCAACCUUCUGCAAUGGUGAAGCCAGACUCCUCAUCUGAUUUAAGAACGCUGUUAAAAACUCAUGGGCAUCCUGAACAUACAGACACACAGAUUUGAUUUGAUGCACGGACAAGAAAAAAUCAGCAGGCAGCAAAACAUUUAAUGAGUAUGUUUGUACAGAUUUACUCACCCAAACCGGGAGGGAUGAAGAACCUUGAGGCUCUGUGGCUUGACGGCACCCUGUCUCUGGCAAAUGAUCUUUUCUACUGCGUCUUCGAGUAAGGAGGAAAAAACAGCGUGCUUAGGCACUGUGGCAGCUGCUUUCCUGUUCUCUUCGUUGGCUUUGUCCAGUGCGGCCUCCUCUUCAUCGGUGAGCCCUUUAAACUCCACCACUUCGUCAUUUUGGAUAGAACUGAAACAUGGAGGGAGAAACAGGCUGUCAUUCUGUAUUUCAUGUAUUUUUUCUGCUGAUUUGAUAAUCUAAUUGUAUUCACUAUAUGUGGGUCAACAUGGUAAACAACAGCAAAACCAAACCAAAAGUGAGUAUAUGUCCAGCAGAGAUAAUACUGCUCCUCAUCAAAAUUAAUUUCUUGUUCUCAGCGGAUGUGAUGUAACACGCUGUGAACAGUAGUGUGAGUGUGAAAACAGAUCAAUACUGUCAACGCAUAAGAUACUGGUUACCUGCUGAUAUGUUUCUGCUCAGCUUCAUCGUCAGUUACUGGAGCCACACGAUGUCUUCUCUGUUAAAGGACAGAAAACUCCAGUGGUUAAUUGGUGGAGGUGCUGUGGUGGUUGCUGGACCACCUGAGAAGAUGACUCUGCAGACACACACACACACACACACACACACACACACACACACACACACACACACACACACACACACACACACACACACACACAUACACACACACAGCUGGUCAUUCUACUGUUGACUUGAGAUUGGAGUGUGGAGAAAUCACCUAAAGGGAUGAAUCCCUCUGUCCUUUGCAGUGUUUUACCAACAUUAAAAGGAUAAAGACUUGAGUUGACAAUGAGGAUUUCCUUACCUCUUCACAAUCACUGACAGACUUUUAACUUUGCUCUGUAGAGUAAAAACAAAAGCAAUGUCUAUGUCAAGCAUCUUUUGUGUCCAAAAACCCAUUUUACAAAAUUCUCAAAUCUUGGUGUAAAACGCUGUUACUUCCUGUGAAACUCACUAGGGGUCGACAGAACUGUCUGUACCACCUCCUGUCGCAGUUAUCCGCAGAGGUCUUGGCGGCAGGCGCUUCUGAGACGGUGACUCUGGUGAUGCACAGAAACACAUAGUCUAUUAUACAUCCAAAAUCAAUCAUUUAGGGGCAUUAAAAACUCUGUCACAGUUGUCACAGACUUCAACCAUGGCUCUAAACAAAUCAAGAACCAUUGUUAUGAGACCAUGACAUAUAAUCCAGAAGCUAAAAGAACUAACAUGUUUCCCAACACUAUUCUCUUUCAAACUUACACCAAACAUAAGAUACGGUAUUCACUUGUACAUGCAUUUAAGAACAAUUGGCAAAAGGUAACUUGAAGUGUGGCAAAUGUGCCAUUUGCCUACAUAAUCAUCAGAUUAAUCAAUAGCAAGAAAGAGUUAAUACUGAUGAUCAAGUCUUCAAAAACAAAUUACUAGUCAUAGUGCAUGUCUCUGAGGUCACUGACUUUUACAAUGAAACAACAUUUAAAUAUUUUCUUUUUAAAGUAAAUUGAUGAGAAAACAGAAAAACUUGUAUGAUGUCAUGAACAGUCCUAUAAUAAAAAA